ACAAUAUGAAAGCGGGCUGGCAUCCUUCGGGGUUACAGCCUUGCUGAAUUAUUCACCCGUGUCUUUUGCGUACUUCUUGUUUCCUUGGUGGGUUCGCCCACCAUAGGACAAACCAUAAACCUUUUGUAAUUGCAAUCAGCGUCAGAAAAAAAAAAUUAAUAAUUACAACUUUUAACAACGGAUCUCUUGGUUCUGGCAUCGAUGAAGAACGCAGCGAAAUGCGAUAAGUAGUGUGAAUUGCAGAAUUCAGUGAAUCAUCGAAUCUUUGAACGCACAUUGCGCCCUUUGGUAUUCCAAAGGGCAUGCCUGUUCGAGCGUCAUUUGUACCCUCAAGCUUUGCUUGGUGUUGGGCGUCUUGUCUCCAGUUCGCUGGAGACUCGCCUUAAAGUAAUUGGCAGCCGGCCUACUGGUUUCGGAGCGCAGCACAAGUCGCGCUCUCUUCCAGCCAAGGUCAGCAUCCACAAAGCCUUUUUUCAACUUUUGACCUCGGAUCAGGUAGGGAUACCCGCUGAACUUAAGCAUAUCAAUAAGCCGGAAGGA
rnacentral:rRNA from 1 species